AGCAACUUGGCGCAGCGGAAGCGCGCCGGGCUCAUAACCCGGAGGUCGGACGAUCGAAACGUCCAGUUGCUA
rfam:Verticillium dahliae VdLs.17 supercont1.25 genomic scaffold, whole genome shotgun sequence.